rnacentral:tRNA from 1 species
UAGCCUAGUUGGUAGUGCGUCUGCCUUGUAAGCGCUAGGCCGCGGGUUCGAUUCCCGC